GUCCAGUCAUGAUGAUUCUACCAAUGGGAAUCUCUCUGAAAAAAUAUAUGGAGAGUCUUGUAUCUGAACUGGUU